AAAGAGUGUGUGGACUGGCUCAACAAAUUCAGAGAAUAUGGAGACGAGCAUCUCAGAAACACUUCUCCUCCAGAUGUUCAUGUGUUUGCAAAAAGGUCCACCAGUGACAAAACCAAGCUGAAACUCACCUGUCUGGUCAGUGGCUUCUACCCCAAAGACAUGACACUGGUUAUGAGGAAAUAUUGCACAUCUCUGCCUGAAGAUGAGAUUGAAUCCACAGGAAUCAGACCAAACCAUGAUGAAACCUUCCAGCUGAAGAAGAGUGUGGAGAUCAAUGAAAAUGAAAAAUCAGAAUAUGAUUGUUUUGUGUCCCACAGAACCUUCAAAGAACCAGUUAUCACCCAAUGGGAUGCUGUGACGGCAUGAUUGGGGUUAUGGCUGUUUCACACUGGAAGCGUAUGUGAGUGGAAGCAGUGGAAAUUGGAUUAGCAUGCUUUUUAAGCUCUACUUUAAAUCAUUUUAACAUGCUUUUGAGUUGUUUGUUUGUUAGUUUGUUUUACACAAGCUAUAUUUACAUGCACCGAAAUAAUCAAUAAUCAUAAAUAAUAAUGUUACUCAUGUAGCUCCGUUGACAUUAAUGCGGUGGCUUUCUGAAUAGAUGCACUGUGCAUGCAUGACUUUUUGAUCGGAAUAAAUAUAUUGCACAUGUAAACAAAUAUGUGAAAUUGAUUGCAAAGCUUAAGGCUCAUAUAAGCAGAACUUUCAGAAUCUGAAACGGGAUUGUAUUUAUUCGGAUUGUCAAAGAUUAGUGCAUGUAAAUAUACUGACAGUGGUAGUCAUGCUCAUUUUUAAUGUCAUUCCAUGUUAAUUUUGAUCACAAAAAAAUCACAGUUACUUUAAAAGGAUCAUG